rnacentral:rRNA from 1 species
GACGAACGCUGGCGGCGUGCUUAACACAUGCAAGUCGAACGGAAAGGCCCUGCUUUUGUGGGGUGCUCGAGUGGCGAACGGGUGAGUAACACGUGAGUAACCUGCCCUUGACUUUGGGAUAACUUCAGGAAACUGGGGCUAAUACCGGAUAGGAGCUCCUGCUGCAUGGUGGGGGUUGGAAAGUUUCGGCGGUUGGGGAUGGACUCGCGGCUUAUCAGCUUGUUGGUGGGGUAGUGGCUUACCAAGGCUUUGACGGGUAGCCGGCCUGAGAGGGUGACCGGCCACAAUGGGACUGAGAUACGGCCCAGACUCCUACGGGAGGCAGCAGUGGGGAAUAUGGCACAACGGGCGGAAGCCUGAUGCAGCAACGCCGCGUGCGGGAUGACGGCCUUCGGGUUGUAAACCGCUUUCGCCUGUGACGAAGCGUGAGUGACGGUAAUGGGUAAAGAAGCACCGGCUAACUACGUG